UACGAAGGGGGCUAGCGUUGUUCGGAAUUACUGGGCGUAAAGGGCGCGUAGGCGGUCGUGACAAGUCACUUGUGAAAUCUCCGGGCUUAACUCGGAGCGGUCAAGUGAUACUGUCGGACUAGAGUACAGAAGGGGCAACUGGAAUUCUCGGUGUAGCGGUGAAAUGCGUAGAUAUCGAGAGGAACACCUGCGGCGAAGGCGGGUUGCUGGGCUGAUACUGACGCUGAGGCGCGAAAGCCAGGGGAGCGAACGGG
rnacentral:rRNA from 1 species